rnacentral:lncRNA from 1 species
UAAAUGUUGACUACUGAGCAUAUGAAACAACACAGGACUGAUAAUCUACCAGCAACUAACUACACAGUAUAAAACCACUGACACUCAUACAAAGAAAAUAAGUGUGCUUGGAGGAAAGGAAAUGGGGAUAGCCUUUAAUGUUUAUAAUAUUUGUAAAGUUUCUUAAAUAAAGGAAUAAUAUAUCUGCCUCAUGCAAAGCUCGAUCAUAUUUUUAUGCCUGGCUUUUGUUAUUUUUGUAAUUUUUUUUGUUUAUAGCUCUUUGUCUUCUGGCCUCCCAAAUCACAGAAAAGA